CGACCUGCGACGAUGCGAUACUGGCAUUUGAGUAUUGAGUAAUAAAUUUUAAGAUUACUGUGUCCGAAACAGUAGAAUACAUUUCUAAAUAGCUGACGAAUGAAAUCCGAUUUGCUGCUGGAACUGCUUUGGUAUUUCCAUAUACAUACGAAGCAAGGCAUAGAAAGCCCGCUGCCGGAAGUUUUCAGCCUCGGGCGCAAUGGAAUGGAACGAAAGUCAAUCAUACGAUCGUCGAUCAAUUAAGAGUGGAAACUUGCAGAGCAUUAACGACGGUACCACCGACGAAACGGUACGAUGAUUGCGGUUUUGGAAGAAUACCAAGCCAUUGCCGAAAAUCUUGUCUUGGACGUUCGACUUCGUCGGUGGUUCGCCUACCACAAUCCUAGCCCUCGUUUCGCAGAUUGACCCAAUAGAUGGGGAGAAGAGCCCGCCCUUUAUCCACGAGAUGUUAACAAUAGGAAGUUUUCGAUUCCACUCUUCCUAUCCAAAUCGCUUCAAUCGGGUGCCCUGAUGGUUUUUUCAUGGUAUAAAUCA